AAGCAUUCUCUUGCAUUCCACCCGGGGAACAAGACAGCACCGGGUUUCACACUGGCAAGGCAGGAGGCUGUGUGCUGCCAGAACGACCAGCAGGGGGCGCAAAGGCCACGCCAGGCACCUGCUGGCCUCAGAGAAAACAGAAAGGGAACCAGGAAGCCCACUCCUGCUGUCCUUUCUCUGCAAGGAAAUGUGCCAGGGCACUGCAGCCCAGACAGUCGGCAGUAGAGGACCCAUGAAGUAUCUUUGUGCAAAGAAAGCAGCAAAGAGAAUUAAGAGAAUUGCAUCAUAUAAAGAGUGAAUUAAACCAUCUAAAGGAGCAAAAAUUCAUCAUCACAUGGACAAGAAAUUAAGACGUAACAUCCAUCUCACUAUUUGCAAAGUGGCUUAUUCCUACAGACAAUGCAGAUAUGUAAAAAGCUGGAAACCUAGGAGCAGAAGCCCAGCAUAAAGAUCUCUGAAAGCCUGGAUGCGUGGAUUCCUCUCUUACUUCCCAAAACGGUGGGGUGGAAAUGUGAAUAUCAGCAUGAUGCACAGAUCUCUGCAGAUGUCCAGCGAACUGAAUUUCUAGACGCUAUAAUCUAUGUUCUUUCCCAACCCCCACUUCAGUUUACAUAUCGCAGGCCAUAGAUCCUGUUUGUUGAAAAGCGAUCAGCUAGAAAACAAGAGUGGUUAUAACCUGUGCUGCCCAGUGAUCAGGAAAAGAGAGCGGAUGAAACUUCCAUGACUUUCUGUUAGUCUGAUUAAUAUCCAUGCCAAAUGUAAGAUUAGUUAAAAGGCCUUAUUGCUUCCCACCAAAAUGUUCCUUCACUAGCUAUAUACUACACUGAAAUGUAAAGUUAUGGGUAUGUUUAACAGUUUAAUUUGUCAGUGGGCAUCCAACUCUUCUAUUUGUGUUUUUACUUUGAGCUUAAUUGGAGCAGACAAAUAGAGGUGACCUCUAACUGUUUUCUUCCUGAAGCCAUUUUCAGGGCAGAAGUGCUUUACCCACUUCAUUGAGAAACCACCUUUGCAUGCAGUACCCUGAGCUGUCUUCAGCACACCAAGCAUCCACAACAUGGGAAAUACCGUGCUUUAAAUGUUGCUUUAAUCACAGUGCUCAUGAGUAAGGGCAUGUCCUGUCUCUUAUCCAUGAAAACACUCCCACAAAAUGAAGUCACACCCAGUAUCUGUUAACGGAGAUACUGAGUGGGUGAAGAAGACUCAUUCCCUAAUGCAAUUCAGGUCACACAGGGUAAAAAAGAAAAAAAAAUCCUUUUCUGUUGAGGAUACAGAUGGAGAGAAAAUGGAAAAUGCCUUUCAGGAAGCACAAGCCUAGUUUUCUAAUUGUGUUUCAGUGAACACGCAGGUGAACUUACCUGUGUGGCUUGGUAUUGUGGUGGGUUUUCAGCUUCUUCUCCACCAAAUCCUUUGAAAAGCAGCAGUGGCAGAAACAAAUAACCCAAUUAAAAACAAUAAUAGCAACAAUAAAAAAAGAAAAGAUGAAGAAAGCAGUGGUUUUCUUUGGCUAGCUGAGGAACUUUCUACUAGGCGUUAGCAAUCUCUUUGUAAACUUUUUUCUUUACAGCAAAUGCUUCAUUCUCUAGACACAUGUCAAGAAUUUUCAAGCAUCGCCAGACUCAAUUCUUCACCCCCAUGUUAACAAUUAAAGAAUCAGCCGAAUGCCUGUGUUUAAGAA
ensembl:lncRNA LINC02372 long intergenic non-protein coding RNA 2372